AUGGUUAAGCUAGAAAGGGCGCACGGUGAAUGCCUUGGCACUAGGAGCCGAUGAAGGACGGGACGAACACCGAAAUGCUUCGGGGAGCUGUAAGUAAGCUUUGAUCCGGAGAUAUCCGAAUGGGGGAACCCACCAUCCGUAAUGGGAUGGUAUCCAUACCUGAAUCCAUAGGGUAUGAGAAGGCAGACCUGGGGAACUGAAACAUCUUAGUACCCAGAGGAAGAGAAAGAAAAUUCGAUUUCCUGAGUAGCGGCGAGCGAAACGGAAAGAGCCCAAACCAAGAGGCUUGCCUCUUGGGGUUGUAGGACACUCCAUACGGAGUUACAAAGAAACGGCGUAGAUGAAGCGAUCUGGAAAGAUCCGCGAGACAAGGUAACAGCCCUGUAGUCGAAAUGUCGUUUCCUCCGGAGUGUAUCCUGAGUACGGCGGGACACGUGAAACCCCGUCGGAAUCUGGGAGGACCAUCUCCCAAGGCUAAAUACUCCCUAGUGACCGAUAGUGAACCAGUACCG
rnacentral:rRNA from 1 species